GCCGGUGUGGCUCAAGUGGACAAGAACACUGACUUUGGUUCAGUAGGUCGAGGGUUCAAUACCGUCUCAGGGAG
rnacentral:tRNA from 14 species